GUUGGCAGGCCUAACACAUGCAAGUCGAACGGUAACAGGAAACAGCUUGCUGUUUCGCUGACGAGUGGCGGACGGGUGAGUAAUGUCUGGGAAACUGCCUGAUGGAGGGGGAUAACUACUGGAAACGGUAGCUAAUACCGCAUAACGUCGCAAGACCAAAGAGGGGGACCUUAGGGCCUCUUGCCAUCGGAUGUGCCCAGAUGGGAUUAGCUAGUAGGUGGGGUAAAGGCUCACCUAGGCGACGAUCCCUAGCUGGUCUGAGAGGAUGACCAGCCACACUGGAACUGAGACACGGUCCAGACUCCUACGGGAGGCAGCAGUGGGGAAUAUUGCACAAUGGGCGCAAGCCUGAUGCAGCCAUGCCGCGUGUAUGAAGAAGGCCUUCGGGUUGUAAAGUACUUUCAGCGGGGAGGAAGGGAGUAAAGUUAAUACCUUUGCUCAUUGACGUUACCCGCAGAAGAAGCACCGGCUAACUCCGUGCCAGCAGCCGCGGUAAUACGGAGGGUGCAAGCGUUAAUCGGAAUUACUGGGCGUAAAGCGCACGCAGGCGGUUUGUUAAGUCAGAUGUGAAAUCCCCGGGCUCAACCUGGGAACUGCAUCUGAUACUGGCAAGCUUGAGUCUCCGUAGAGGGGGGUAGAAUUCCAGGUGUAGCGGUGAAAUGCGUAGAGAUCUGGAGGAAUACCGGUGGCGAAGGCGGCCCCCUGGACGAAGACUGACGCUCAGGCGCGAAAGCGUGGGGAGCAAACAGGAUUAGAUACCCUGGUAGUCCACGCCGUAAACGAUGUCGACUUGGAGGUUGUGCCCUUGAGGCGUGGCUUCCGGAGCUAACGCGUUAAGUCGACCGCCUGGGGAGUACGGCCGCAAGGUUAAAACUCAAAUGAAUUGACGGGGGCCCGCACAAGCGGUGGAGCAUGUGGUUUAAUUCGAUGCAACGCGAAGAACCUUACCUGGUCUUGACAUCCACGGAAGUUUUCAGAGAUGAGAAUGUGCCUUCGGGAACCGUGAGACAGGUGCUGCAUGGCUGUCGUCAGCUCGUGUUGUGAAAUGUUGGGUUAAGUCCCGCAACGAGCGCAACCCUUAUCCUUUGUUGCCAGCGGUCCGGCCGGGAACUCAAAGGAGACUGCCAGUGAUAAACUGGAGGAAGGUGGGGAUGACGUCAAGUCAUCAUGGCCCUUACGACCAGGGCUACACACGUGCUACAAUGGCGCAUACAAAGAGAAGCGACCUCGCGAGAGCAAGCGGACCUCAUAAAGUGCGUCGUAGUCCGGAUUGGAGUCUGCAACUCGACUCCAUGAAGUCGGAAUCGCUAGUAAUCGUGGAUCAGAAUGCCACGGUGAAUACGUUCCCGGGCCUUGUACACACCGCCCGCCACACCAUGGGAGUGGGUUGCAAAAGAAGUAGGUAGCUUAACCUUCGGGAGGGCGCUUACCACUUUGUGAUUCAUGACUGGGGUGAA
rnacentral:rRNA from 1 species